rnacentral:rRNA from 1 species
GGUAGCUAAUACCGCAUGACCUCGCAAGAGCAAAGUGGGGGACCUUUCGGGCCUCACGCCAUCGGAUGUGCCCAGAUGGGAUUAGCUAGUAGGUGGGGUAAUGGCUCACCUAGGCGACGAUCCCUAGCUGGUCUGAGAGGAUGACCAGCCACACUGGAACUGAGACACGGUCCAGACUCCUACGGGAGGCAGCAGUGGGGAAUAUUGCACAAUGGGCGCAAGCCUGAUGCAGCCAUGCCGCGUGUGUGAAGAAGGCCUUAGGGUUGUAAAGCACUUUCAGCGAGGAGGAAGGCGUUGUAGUUAAUAGCUGCAGCGAUUGACGUUACUCGCAGAAGAAGCACCGGCUAACUCCGUGCCAGCAGCCGCGGUAAUACGGAGGGUGCAAGCGUUAAUCGGAAUUACUGGGCGUAAAGCGCACGCAGGCGGUUUGUUAAGUCAGAUGUGAAAUCCCCGAGCUUAACUUGGGAACUGCAUUUGAAACUGGCAAGCUAGAGUCUUGUAGAGGGGGGUAGAAUUCCAGGUGUAGCGGUGAAAUGCGUAGAGAUCUGGAGGAAUACCGGUGGCGAAGGCGGCCCCCUGGACAGAGACUGACGCUCAGGUGCGAAAGCGUGGGGAGCAAAC